rnacentral:rRNA from 1 species
UACGGUUGCAAAGCUGAAACUUAAAGGAAUUGACGGAAGGGCACCACCAGGAGUGGAGCCUGUGGCUUAAUUUGACUCAACACGGGAAACCUCACCCGGUCCGGACACUGGAAGGAUUGACAGACUAAAGCUCUUUCUUGAUUCAGUGGGUGGUGGUGCAUGGCCGUUCUUAGUUGGUGGAGUGAUUUGUCUGGUUAAUUCCGAUAACGAACGAGACUCUCGCCUGCUAAAUAGUUUUCCAUACGUUACCUUAUGGAACCUAAACUUCUUAGAGGUACAAGUGGCGUUUAGCCACACGAAACAGAGCAAUAACAGGUCUGUGAUGCCCUUAGAUGUCCGGGGCCGCACAUGUGCUACAAUGAAUGCAUCAACGUGUAUCAGCCUCGCCCGAAAGGGUUGGGGAAUCCGCUGAACGGCAUUCUCAGUAGGGAUUGGGGAUUGCAAUUAUUUCCCAUGAACACGGAAUUCCCAGUAGGCGCCAGUCAUCAGCUGGCGUCGAUUGAGUCCCUGCCCUUUGUACACACCGCCCGUCGCUACUACCGAUCGCUCUUGUUAAUGAGCUUGUCGGAUUGGACCCGGUGAGCAGUCGUUGCGCUCCAUCUCCUCGCGGGGUGGGCCUUCGUCUGCGANCUUUGGUGUAUGCCGAGAAGAUCGGCAAAUUAUCUGGAGUCUGGGUACUGGGUACGGACGUCCGCCUGGGUGCUUCUCGGUAAAAAGCCGCCGGGUGGCGAGUUGUUGACCUAGCCCUCGGAGCGUGCUUUGUUAUUAAAUAACAAAAACCCAACAAAAACCCAACAACGCAAUCCGACCUCAGAUC